AUUGAACGCUGGCGGCAUGCCUUACACAUGCAAGUCGAACGGCAGCACGGGCUUCGGUCUGGUGGCGAGUGGCGAACGGGGGAGUAAUGUAUCGGAACGUACCCUUCAGUGGGGGGGAACUAUCCGAAAGAAUAGCUAAUACCGCAUAUUCUCGGAGGGGGAAAGCGGGGGAUCGCAAGAACUCGCGCUGAUGGAGCGGCCGAUAUCAGAUUAGCUAGUUGGUGGGGUAACGGCCCACCAAGUCUACGAUCAGUAGCUGAUGUGAGAGCAUGAUAAGCCACACGGGAACUGAGACACGGGCCCGACUCCUACGGGAGGCAGCAGUAAGGAAUAUUGGACAAUGGACGCAAGUCUGAUCCAGCCAUGCCGCGUGAAGGAUUAAGGUCCUCUGGAUUGUAAACUUCUUUUAUAAGGGACGAAAAAAGGUCUUUCUAGAUCGUCUGACGGUACCUUAUGGAUAAGCACCGGCUAACUCCGUGCCAGCCGCCGCCGUAAUAC
rnacentral:rRNA from 1 species